AAUAUAUAACUGAGUGCCGAGUUAAAAAACAAUUUUUAGAAAUGAAGCACAACAGUGAAAUAAUCGUUCACGAAACACAGGUAUAUAAAGUAGGUAAAUAUGCUUCCAAGUUACAAAUUAAUCACAAGAAUUCAAUCAAUAGAAUUUACAAAUAAGCAACCAAGCAAUAACCAUGCAUAAACCGGUAAGGAUACCAAACCUAACCUAAUGGAGAGUUUGGAAUAAUCUUACCAAACUACUGUUGAAAAACAGUAAAUAUACCACCAAGUUUCUGAACCUAAUUGCGGUAGACGUCAAGCCAGGGGCAAAAUCGUC
rnacentral:lncRNA from 1 species